rnacentral:rRNA from 1 species
AUUGAACGCUGGCGGCAUGCCUUACACAUGCAAGUCGAACGGCAGCAUGAUCUAGCUUGCUAGAUUGAUGGCGAGUGGCGAACGGGUGAGUAAUACAUCGGAACGUGCCCUGUAGUGGGGGAUAACUAGUCGAAAGAUUAGCUAAUACCGCAUACGACCUGAGGGUGAAAGUGGGGGACCGCAAGGCCUCAUGCUAUAGGAGCGGCCGAUGUCUGAUUAGCUAGUUGGUGAGGUAAAGGCUCACCAAGGCGACGAUCAGUAGCUGAUCUGAGAGGACGAUCAGCCACACUGGGACUGAGACACGGCCCAGACUCCUACGGGAGGCAGCAGUGGGGAAUUUUGGACAAUGGGCGAAAGCCUGGUCCAGCAAUGCCGCGUGUGUGAAGAAGGCCUUCGGGUUGUAAAGCACUUUUGUCCGGAAAGAAAUGGCUCUGGUUAAUACCUGGGGUCGAUGACGGUACCGGAAGAAUAAGGACCGGCUAACUACGUG